GAUGAACGCUGGCGGCGUGCCUAAUACAUGCAAGUCGAACGGGAAGCUAUCCUUCGGGAUAGUGGAGAGUGGCGCCCGGGUGAGUAACACGUAGCUGAUCUGCCCUUCGCUGGGGGAUAACAUCGAGAAAUCGGUGCUAAUACCGCGUACGCUUGAGAGUCUUAGAAUCUCUUAAGGAAAGCUCCGGCGGCGAAGGAGGAGGCUGCGUUCCAUCAGCUAGUUGGUGUGGUAAAAGCAUACCAAGGCGACGACGGAUAGGGGACCUGAGAGGGUGACCCCCCACACUGGUACUGACACACGGACCAG
rnacentral:rRNA from 1 species